rfam:Picea glauca, whole genome shotgun sequence.
AUAAUGGUGUCUUUAGACACCACUAACUCAUAGCUUGGAUAUCUUU